CGCCUCUUGAUAACUAUAAGAGGUCCAGCCUGCCCAGUGAUAAAUUCAACGGCCGCGGUAUCCUAACCGUGCGAAGGUAGCAUAAUCACUUGUUCUUUAAAUAGGGACUCGUAUCAACGGCAUCACGAGGGUUACACUGUCUCCUCUUUCCAAUCAGUGAAACUGAUCUUCCCGUGAAGAAGCGGGAAUGAACUAAUAAGACGAGAAGACCCCAUGGAGCUUUAAACCUCACAGCAACUCUAACAUAUAUUCCCCCAUAACCCGCAGAGCAAUGCUAGUCGGUUUUAGGUUGGGGUGACCGCGGAGCAAAAACUACCCUCCACGACGAACAGAACUAAAUCUUUAUCCAAGAGCAACUACUCUAAGAACUAGCACACUAACAUAUCAUGACCCGAUAAUCGAUCAACGGACCAAGUUACCCUGGGGAUAACAGCGCAAUCUGCUUCAAGAGCCCAUAUCGACAAGCAGGCUUACGACCUCGAUGUUGGAUCAGGGUACCCCAGUGGUGCAGCCGCUACUAACGGUUCGUUUGUUCAACGAUUAAAACCCU
rnacentral:rRNA from 1 species